GAAGGGGAGACGCGGCAGCAGGAAGGUCUGGACAGUGCGGGCAAAAGCAAAUCCCAGAAAAGAGGCUCCGGGGGGCUCCGUGGCAGGGGAGAUGCCAAAGCUGAGCCCUGAAUUGCUCCAAGUCCCCACUGGCUCUGCAGUUCCACCAGAUUUCAGGGGAGUUCAAAGGUGUUUUCCUGCCUCCUCAGAGCCCUGGGCUAUUUUUAGCUGUCAGAUGUUGGCAGCCCAGCUCUCACAGACAACUGUGUGGUGACAAUGUGCACAUGGAAAUGGCUCAUUCCUGAGCUCCAGGAACGGCCAAGAACCAGGGAUCUCCACAUCUCCACCAGCAGGGGCUGUGUGGGGCUGUGCAGCCGGACACACGGACGGCCUCCAGCCCAUCCCAGACCCGACUGGACGCCUG